CAUAGGUGGUCCCGAGGAAUUGGGACUGAAAAGGGAAGCCGGUGAGAUACCGGCGCGGUCGCGCCACUGUAACUGGUGUGGUCCACCCCAAGAAAAAUCGCCACCGUUCCGGAUAGCAGGGAUCGGAAGGCGAGGGGUACGGACCGGAACCAGGAGCCAGGAGACCUGCCUAGGGC
rnacentral:ncRNA from 1 species